GGUGCUUGCACUGGGGAUUAGUGGCGAACGGGUGAGUAACACGUGAGUAACCUGCCCUUAACUCUGGGAUAAGCCUUGGAAACGAGGUCUAAUACUGGAUAUUGACAUUAUCUCGCAUGGGGUUUUGUUGAAAGAUUUAUUGGUUUUGGAUGGACUCGCGGCCUAUCAGCUUGUUGGUGAGGUAAUGGCUCACCAAGGCGACGACGGGUAGCCGGCCUGAGAGGGUGACCGGCCACACUGGGACUGAGACACGGCCCAGACUCCUACGGGAGGCAGCAGUGGGGAAUAUUGCACAAUGGGCGAAAGCCUGAUGCAGCGACGCCGCGUGAGGGAUGACGGCCUUCGGGUUGUAAACCUCUUUCAGUAGGGAACAAGGCCAGCAUUUUUGUUGGUUGAGGGUACUUGCAGAAGAAGCGCCGGCUAACUACGUGCCAGCAGCCGCGGUAAUACGUAGGGCGCAAGCGUUAUCCGGAAUUAUUGGGCGUAAAGAGCUCGUAGGCGGUUUGUCGCGUCUGCCGUGAAAGUCCGGGGCUCAACCCCGGAUCUGCGGUGGGUACGGGCAGACUAGAGUGAUGUAGGGGAGACUGGAAUUCCUGGUGUAGCGGUGAAAUGCGCAGAUAUCAGGAGGAACACCGAUGGCGAAGGCAGGUCUCUGGGCAUUAACUGACGCUGAGGAGCGAAAGCAUGGGGAGCGAACAGGAUUAGAUACCCUGGUAGUCCAUGCCGUAAACGUUGGGCACUAGGUGUGGGGGACAUUCCACGUUUUCCGCGCCGUAGCUAACGCAUUAAGUGCCCCGCCUGGGGAGUACGGCCGCAAGGCUAAAACUCAAAGGAAUUGACGGGGGCCCGCACAAGCGGCGGAGCAUGCGGAUUAAUUCGAUGCAACGCGAAGAACCUUACCAAGGCUUGACAUGAACUGGAAAUACCUGGAAACAGGUGCCCCGCUUGCGGUCGGUUUACAGGUGGUGCAUGGUUGUCGUCAGCUCGUGUCGUGAGAUGUUGGGUUAAGUCCCGCAACGAGCGCAACCCUCGUUCUAUGUUGCCAGCACGUAAUGGUGGGGACUCAUAGGAGACUGCCGGGGUCAACUCGGAGGAAGGUGAGGACGACGUCAAAUCAUCAUGCCCCUUAUGUCUUGGGCUUCACGCAUGCUACAAUGGCCGGUACAAUGGGUUGCGAUACUGUGAGGUGGAGCUAAUCCCAAAAAGCCGGUCUCAGUUCGGAUUGGGGUCUGCAACUCGACCCCAUGAAGUCGGAGUCGCUAGUAAUCGCAGAUCAGCAACGCUGCGGUGAAUACGUUCCCGGGCCUUGUACACACCGCCCGUCAAGUCACGAAAGUUGGUAACACCCGAAGCCGGUG
rnacentral:rRNA from 1 species